AUGUUUACUGUGGGCUUAGACGUUGAUACGCGUGCCUACUUCACCGCAGCUACCAUGAUCAUAGUUGUGCCGACAGGAAUCAAAAUCUUUAGUUGGAUCGCUACCAUGUGGGGAGGUUCGAUACAAUACAAAACACCCAUGUUAUUUGUUGUAGGGUUCAUCUUUUUGUUCACCAUAGGAGGGCUCACUGGAAUAGUUCUAGCAAACUCUGGGCUAGACAUUGCUCUACAUGAUACUUAUUAUGUGGUUGCACAUUUCCAUUAUGUACUUUCUAUGGGAGCCGUUUUUGCUUUAUUGCUGGAUUUUACUAUUGGGUGGGUAAAAUCUUUGGUCGGACAUAUCCUGAAACUUUAG
rnacentral:rRNA from 1 species